AGUCGAGCGGAGANGAGGUGCUUGCACCUUAUCUUAGCGGCGGACGGGUGAGUAAUGCUUAGGAAUCUGCCAUUUAGUGGGGGACAACAUUCCGAAAGGAAUGCUAAUACCGCAUACGUCCUACGGGAGAAAGCAGGGGAUCUUCGGACCUUGCGCUAAAUGAUGAGCCUAAGUCGGAUUAGCUAGUUGGUGGGGUAAAGGCUUACCAAGGCGACGAUCUGUAGCGGGUCUGAGAGGAUGAUCCGCCACACUGGGACUGAGACACGGCCCAGACUCCUACGGGAGGCAGCAGUGGGGAAUAUUGGACAAUGGGCGGAAGCCUGAUCCAGCCAUGCCGCGUGUGUGAAGAAGGCCUUUUGGUUGUAAAGCACUUUAAGCGAGGAGGAGGCUACUAGUACUAAUACUACUGGAUAGUGGACGUUACUCGCAGAAUAAGCACCGGCUAACUCUGUGCCAGCAGCCGCGGUAAUACAGAGGGUGCGAGCGUUAAUCGGAUUUACUGGGCGUAAAGCGUGCGUAGGCGGCUUUUUAAGUCGGAUGUGAAAUCCCCGAGCUUAACUUGGGAAUUGCAUUCGAUACUGGGAAGCUAGAGUAUGGGAGAGGAUGGUAGAAUUCCAGGUGUAGCGGUGAAAUGCGUAGAGAUCUGGAGGAAUACCGAUGGCGAAGGCAGCCAUCUGGCCUAAUACUGACGCUGAGGUACGAAAGCAUGGGGAGCAAACAGGAUUAGAUACCCUGGUAGUCCAUGCCGUAAACGAUGUCUACUAGCCGUUGGGGCCUUUGANGCUUUAGUGGCGCAGCUNACGCGAUAAGUAGACCGCCUGGGGAGUACGGUCGCAAGACUAAAACUCAAUGAANUGACGGGGGCCCGCACAAGCGGUGGAGCAUGUGGUUUAAUUCGAUGCNNGCGAAGAACCUUACCNGGCCUUGACAUACU
rnacentral:rRNA from 1 species